UCAAAUUGGUUGUAUUUUGGAAUCUGCUUAGCCGCAGGUCCUCGCCUUCGGGUGGGGAUGCGCGAGGCACUCACCAAGUGUUGCGCGUUCCGCAUAUGUCGUGCCAGCUCGCCAGUGCACUUUCGCAGAGUGUUCACCACGACCGGCAUUGCUGUCUGGCUGUUGUGGUUAAACCGGCCUUUCUUUGCUUUCAUGGCUUAGGAUUGUCGGGAUGGCAGGUAGCUCGCCAGCUGAGCCUGUAGCUUGCUGCAGGUUUGGCUCUCGGGUGUUAUCAGCUGACCGCAUCGGUACUGUGCAGUAUGUCGGAGACGGCGGCUUGUGGUACAUGCGUGCGUACUAGUUGGUUGGCGUGCCCGGGUUUGGUUGUUACGUUGCCUGUGUUUACAGGCCUGAUGAUAGCCCGGGUUCGUUCGGCCGGCGGUUGCGUGCGUAGUGCUUUCCAGGGCCAAUAGUCUGUGGUGUUGCGGUAGACUAUCCACCCGACCCGUCUUGAAACACGGACCAAGGAGAGUAACAUGUGCGCGAGUCAUUGGGCGUAACGAAACCCAAAGGCGAAGUGAAAGUAAAGGUCUGGCUUGUCUGGACUGAGGUGAGAUCCUGUCGUUUCCCACGCGCGGUAUUACCAAGCAUCGAGCGGCAGGCGCAUCACCGGCCCGUCCCAUGGUGUGGUGACUUCCUUCGGGGGGUUCGUCACCGGGGCGGAGCAUGAGCGUACAUGUUGAGACCCGAAAGAUGGUGAACUAUGCUUGCGCAGGUUGAAGCCAGAGGAAACUCUGGUGGAGGACCGCAGCGAUUCU
rnacentral:rRNA from 1 species